UCAAUGAGAAUUGUUGCUCAUGCCCUUGGUAGAAAGCAGAAGGUUUGUAUGGUCUGAUUAGUGCAAACAAGGUUUUCCCAUGAAGCAAGUUUCUUGACCCAUGGCAGAAUUCAUCUGCUGUUGAGUAAGGGGCAUUCUUGUUUUUAACCAAAAAGAACUGGAGAGGGGAUGCAUAAGACUGUUUAAAGAUGCACUGUGUAUGCCAAUCUGAGUGUUCUUGACUUGGGUGUUAUUUCUAAAGAAGAUUGUGUCCUUCAACAUGUUGUCAGGAAGCCCUUAAACAAAGAAGGUAAGAUGCCCAGGACCAAAGAAUCCAAGAUUCAGCAUCUUAUUUCUCCACUACCCUGUAACACAAAGGCCAACGUGUUGCUCUGAAAAAAAAAAAAAAAUCACUAAAACAAACAAAUAAAUAGGAUGGUGAAGUAUGUGCUACAGUUUUGCCCAAGAGAAUGAAGGAAGACAAAGAAAAAAAAAUUCAGGAAAAGA
rnacentral:lncRNA from 1 species